rnacentral:rRNA from 1 species
AGCGAACGCUGGCGGCAGGCUUAACACAUGCAAGUCGAGCGCCCCGCAAGGGGAGCGGCAGACGGGAGAGUAACACGUGGGAACAUACCUUUUGGUUCGGAACAACUGAGGGAAACUUCAGCUAAUACCGGAUAAGCCCUUACGGGGAAAGAUUUAUCGCCGAAAGAUUGGCCCGCGUCUGAUUAGCUAGUUGGUGAGGUAACGGCUCACCAAGGCGACGAUCAGUAGCUGGUCUGAGAGGAUGAUCAGCCUCACUGGGACUGAGACACGGCCCAGACUCCUACGGGAGGCAGCAGUGGGGAAUAUUGGACAAUGGGCGCAAGCCUGAUCCAGCCAUGCCGCGUGAGUGAUGAAGGCCUUAGGGUUGUAAAGCUCUUUUAACGGGGAAGAUAAUGACGGUACCCGUAGAAUAAGCCCCGGCUAACUUCGUGCCAGCCGCCGCCGUAA